rnacentral:tmRNA from 1 species
GGGGAUGUAAAGGUCUCGACGGGGGUGAUGAAGCGGGACAAGCGAGCCGUAGUCGCCGAGUCUACGUUAAAAGCGGCACAACGUUUUAUUAAACGGCAAAGAAAAAACCAAUCUCGCCUUCGCAGCUUAGUCUGCGCGCGACGUCGGCCCGAGUUCACCUGCAGGUUCGGAUCCCGGCGCCAAUUAUGCAGGAAAACCCUAUGUGAUUUCUCGGUAGCAUAGGGGACCCACGAGAUAGCCGAUCCUGCGCCGCGCCUGUGAUGCGCGGGUGAGGCGAAAUAAACUAUCGCAGGAUGCGCUCGGAGAAAAUCCCGACGGAAACGCUUUCGGACGUGGGUUCAAUUCCCACCAUCUCCACCA